GCUGGGCGUGGUGGCUCACGCCUGUAAUCCCAGCACUUUGGGAGGCCGAGGUGGGUGGAUCACUUGAGGCCAGGAGUUCAAGACCAGCCUGGCCAAUAUGGUGAAACCCCAUCUCUA
ensembl:misc_RNA Metazoa_SRP Metazoan signal recognition particle RNA